rnacentral:rRNA from 1 species
AUGUUCUGGAAGGACAGCAGCGCCCGGAGCAGCAGCAGCAGCGGCCGGGAGCAGAGCGGCGUCGGGCCCUUCGGCCAGGUGCGCGUCCUCGUCGUCGGCGAUUCAGGUGUUGGUAAAUCUUCACUGGUGCAUCUCAUCUUAGAAGGAUCUGCUAUUGCUCGACCAGCUCAGACAGUAGGAUGUGCGGUGGGCAUUAAACAUGUUACUUGUGGAAGUGCAGGGGGGUCUUCUAAUAACAUCAGUAAUGAUGCUGAAAGGAAUUUCUUUGUUGAGCUUUGGGAUGUCUCAGGGCAUGACCGCUACAAAGCUUGUCGUUCGAUUUUCUAUACACAAAUCAAUGGUGUCAUUUUUGUUUAUGACCUCUCCCAGAGGAAGACCAAGACAAAUUUGAAUAAAUGGGCAGUUGAAGUUGCGGAAACAGGCACCUUUUCAGCCAUACUUGGAUCUGGUGGACCAGGAGGACUUCCAGUGCCUUACCUUGUAAUUGCUAACAAAGUGGAUAUUGUUCCAAGCGAUGGCUCUAGAGUCAGAAGUGGAAGUAUUGUUGAUCUUGCUCGUCAAUGGAUUGAAAAGCGGGGUCUUCUUCCUCGCAGUGAAGAACUUCCGCUCACAGAGAGCUUUCCUGGGAACUCUGGUCUCAUCUCGGCUGCCAAAGAAGCAAGAUAUGACAAAGAAGCUGUGACCAAGUUUUUCCGCAUGUUGAUCAGGAGAAGAUAUUUCUCGAACGAACCUGCUGUGCCAAGUCCCUGGUCUCUUAUUCCAAGGGAAGAUAGCAUCCUUCCUGUAGUGACUCGCAAAGAUGAUGCCGAUAGCUUUCAAAGGAAAAGCUAUAGCGGCGAGGACUUCAUGUUCAAUGGGGUACCACCACUGCCGGCACAAAGGAACCUCCCACCACCACCAACUCUCGACCCACAGCUGCCGGUGUUUUCUUCAGAUAACUACAGAUAUCACAGAUUCUCCUCGCCAUCGCUUACUGAGAUGAGCAGCAAUAGAACAAGCCGUGAAAAUUUUAAUGUAUAA